UUUGGUGAUGAUACGUCUCUUGGAAACACCCGUUCCCAUACCGAACACGAUGGUUAAGCUUGAGAAGGUCGACAGUACUUAGUUGGAGACGACUAGGGAGGAUAGAUGGUUGCCAAAA
rnacentral:rRNA from 1 species